AAGGGUAGCCGGAGCAUAUAAAAGCUUCUAACUUUUAAUAAGUGGUUCAACUCCACUAACUCUUU
rnacentral:tRNA from 1 species